rnacentral:rRNA from 1 species
AUGAACGCUGGCGGCGUGCCUAAUACCUGCAAGUCGAGCGCACAGACGAGGAGCUUGCUCCUCUGACGUUAGCGGCGGACGGGUGAGUAACACGUGGAUAACCUACCUAUAAGACUGGGAUAACUUCGGGAAACCGGAGCUAAUACCGGAUAAUAUAUUGAACCGCAUGGUUCAAUAGUGAAAGACGGUUUUGCUGUCACUUAUAGAUGGAUCCGCGCCGCAUUAGCUAGUUGGUAAGGUAACGGCUUACCAAGGCAACGAUGCGUAGCCGACCUGAGAGGGUGAUCGGACACACUGGAACUGAGACACGGUCCAGACUCCUACGGGAGGCAGCAGUAGGGAAUCUUCCGCAAUGGGCGAAAGCUUGACGGAGCAACGCCGCGUGAGUGAUGAAGGUCUUCGGAUCGUAAAACUCUGUUAUUAGGGAAGAACAAAUGUGUAAGUAACUAUGCACGUCUUGACGGUACCUAAUCAGAAAGCCACGGCUAACUACGUG